rnacentral:rRNA from 1 species
UACGUAGGGUGCGAGCGUUGUCCGGAUUUAUUGGGCGUAAAGAGCGUGUAGGCGGCUUGGUAGGUCCGCUGUGAAAACUCGAGGCUCAACCUCGAGAUGUCGGCGGAAACCACUUGGCUAGAGUCCGGAAGAGGAGAGUGGAAUUCCUGGUGUAGCGGUGAAAUGCGCAGAUAUCAGGAAGAACACCUAUGGCGAAGGCAGCUCUCUGGGGCGGUACUGACGCUGAGACGCGAAAGCGUGGGGAGCGAACAGG